UAAAUAUGAUGAUACCAGAGAAUGGUUUCGCUUGUUUGACUGAUGUUAUGUGAUGUUAAAAAUUCUCUUGGCUGUCUGAUUAA
rnacentral:snoRNA from 1 species